GGUUCCGUGGUGUAGUGGUUAGCACUUUGGACUUUGAAUCCAACGACCUGGGUUCGACUCCCGGCGGGACCU
rnacentral:tRNA from 1 species